rnacentral:rRNA from 1 species
UACGGAGGAUGCGAGCGUUAUCCGGAUUUAUUGGGUUUAAAGGGUGCGCAGGCGGAUUUUUAAGUCAGCGGUCAAAUCGUGGGGCUCAACCCCAUCCAGCCGUUGAAACUGGGGAUCUAGAGUGUGCGAGAGGUAUGCGGAAUGCGUGGUGUAGCGGUGAAAUGCAUAGAUAUCACGCAGAACCCCGAUUGCGAAGGCAGCAUACCGGUGCACAACUGACGCACAGGCACGAAAGCGUGGGUAUCGAACAGG